GGACCCGUAGCUCAGCUGGAUAGAGCGUUGCCCUCCGAAGGCAAAGGCCGAAGGUUCGAAUCCUUUCGGGUCCGCCA
rnacentral:tRNA from 2 species